GAUGAACGCUGGCGGCGUGCCUAAUACAUGCAAGUCGAGCGAACAGAUGAGGAGCUUGCUCCUCUGACGUUAGCGGCGGACGGGUGAGUAACACGUGGAUAACCUACCUAUAAGACUGGGAUAACUUCGGGAAUCCGGAGCUAAUACCGGAUAAUAUAUUGAACCGCAUGGUUCAAUAGUGAAAGACGGUUUUGCUGUCACUUAUAGAUGGAUCCGCGCCGCAUUAGCUAGUUGGUAAGGUAACGGCUUACCAAGGCAACGAUGCGUAGCCGACCUGAGAGGGUGAUCGGCCACACUGGAACUGAGACACGGUCCAGACUCCUACGGGAGGCGGCAGUAGGGAAUCUUCCGCAAUGGGCGAAAGCCUGACGGAGCAACGCCGCGUGAGUGAUGAAGGUCUUCGGAUCGUAAAACUCUGUUAUUAGGGAAGAACAAAUGUGUAAGUAACUAUGCACGUCUUGACGGUACCUAAUCAGAAAGCCACGGCUAACUACGUG
rnacentral:rRNA from 1 species